rnacentral:tRNA from 1 species
GACUCCAUAGUGUAGUGGUUAGCACAUCGGCUUUACACGCAGAAUGUCCUGGGUUCACACCCCAGGUGGAGCCA